rnacentral:rRNA from 1 species
UACGUAGGGGUGCAAGCGUUUAAUCGGAAUUACUGGGCGUAAAGCGUGCGCAGGCGGUUAUGCAAGACAGAUGUGAAAUCCCCCGGGCUCAACCUGGGAACUGCAUUUGUGACUGCAUGGCUGGAGUGCGGCAGAGGGGGGAUGGAAUUCCUGGUGUAGCAGUGAAAUGCGUAGAUAUCAGGAGGAAUACCGAUGGCGAAGGCAGGUCUCUGGGCUGACACUGACGCUCAUGCACGAAAGGCGUGGGGAGCAAACGAGG